AUUUUGAAGUUAUUUUGGAAAGUUUCUCAACUUUACAAAUGCUUGAAAAUUUCGAUCCUCCCUUAUUAAAAAUGAAGUUUUACAUCUUGUUUUUGGCAAUCUGUAUCAUUUUUGCAAAAGAGCCACCUGUUAAAAAGUGUACGAUAAAUCGAGGUAUGUUAUGCGGCUUCAACGGCGAAUGCUAUCAAUCAUUUUCAUCUCUGUGUGCUAUGGAAGUAAUCAAUGCCCACCGCAAAAAAUACGGAAACAAAGAAUUCAAAGAAGCCAGCAGGGGAAGAUGUUCAGAGAAAUUGAAGCCCGUUUGUCCCCGCUAGACGAAAGCGGAAAGGAAGGAAUGUCCAUUGUGCACUACUUAUAAAUAUUGUUAAUGGAAUAAGUGCUUGCCAAUUGAAUUAUUAUACUGAUUUAAACUAAUCAGAUGUACCUCUGGAAGGUAAUAAAAAUAUUUUCUUAUACCAAAUA